UUACCACUUUGUGAGUCAUGACUGGGGUGAAGUCGUAACAAGGUAACCGUAGGGGAACCUGCGGUUGGAUCACCUCCUUA
rnacentral:rRNA from 1 species